AUUGAACGCUGGCGGCAGGCCUAACACAUGCAAGUCGAGCGGAGCGGCGGACGGGUGAGUAAUGCCUAGGAAUCUGCCUGGUAGUGGGGGAUAACGUCCGGAAAGGGGCCCUAAUCCCCCAUACUUCCAGCUGUGCCUGGGUCGGAUUAGCUAGUUGGUGGGGUAAAGGCCUACAAAGGCGACGAUCCGUAACUGGUCUGAGAGGAUGACCAGUCACACUGGAACGGAGACACGGUCCAGACUCCUACGGGAGGCAGCAGUGGGGAAUAUUGGACAAUGGGCGAAAGCCUGAUCCAGCCAUGCCGCGUGUGUGAAGAAGGUCUUCGGAUUGUAAAGCACUUUAAGUUGGGAGGCGUUACCAACAGAAUAAGCACCGGCUAACUUCGUGCCAGCAGCCGCGGUAAUUC
rnacentral:rRNA from 1 species